rnacentral:sRNA from 1 species
UGGUAAGACGUGAUUCCAUCUCCGGGA